AUUGAACGCUGGCGGCAGGCUUAACACAUGCAAGUCGAGCGGGGAAGGGUAGCUUGCUACCUGACCUAGCGGCGGACGGGUGAGUAAUGCUUAGGAAUCUGCCUAUUAGUGGGGGACAACAUUCCGAAAGGAAUGCUAAUACCGCAUACGCCCUACGGGGGAAAGCAGGGGAUCUUCGGACCUUGCGCUAAUAGAUGAGCCUAAGUCAGAUUAGCUAGUUGGUGGGGUAAAGGCCUACCAAGGCGAAGAUCUGUAGCGGGUCUGAGAGGAUGAACCGCCACACUGGGACUGAGACACGGCCCAGACUCCUACGGGAGGCAGCAGAGGUGAAUAUUGGACAAUGGGCGAAAGCCUGAUCCAGCCAUGCCGCGUGUGUGAAGAAGGCCUUUUGGUUGUAAAGCACUUUAAGCGAGGAGGAGGCUACCGAGAUUAAUACUCUUGGAUAGUGGACGUUACUCGCAGAAUAAGCACCGGCUAACUCUGUGCCAGCCGCCGCCGUAA
rnacentral:rRNA from 1 species